AUGAUAUGCUUCUUCGCAGUUGAGUGGCACUUUGUAGACCGUGUGGCAAGACAAUUUGGAAAAAGACAAGGUAUUCCAAUUGAGGAGAGCAAGGAGGAAAUGCUAUCUCUGCAUCGGUUCGAUCGAAGGAACAAUCAGGAUAUAUCGGAUUGGGCAAACAAACACCGUGCGUGGAUAGAAAUUUGGAAUCAAAGAGACACGUUAGUGCAAUCAGAGAAUAGACCUCACAAUCAGUCAGCAUAUCAGAAGUAUCAAGUGUGGUAUGCGGAUCGUUACCGGUUAAAGCUGAAGCCAGGUUGGACUCACGAGGAGUGGUCGGAGUUGGUGUCUGAAGACCCGGAGACUGCAGAAGGUUAUCAUACCUUCAACACGGCUGUGAGAGACACCAGAGGGGCUCAUGUUGACUACGCACCGAUGCAUGACGAAAUGGUAGUCUGUUUGACCUAUUCUAACAUACUUGCAUCAUGUUGUCUUCUUUCAAAUACAUAA
rnacentral:rRNA from 1 species